CUAGGGCAACCUCUCCCCUCUCCUCUUCCCCCCUUUCUCUCUUCAAAACAUGCCUCUUCUCUCCGAUCGCCAUUCACCCUCCCUCCAUUUCUCUCUCACUCUCCUCCACCGCCGCCUUCGCCACUUCUUCUUCUCAUCACUAGCAUAGCCGCUUCACUGCUUCACUUCGCUUCCGAUCACGACCGGUAUGGUGCUGGUCUCCAAUAUCGACGGCGGAAGUCAGGUAGUCUCGCUUCGGGUUCGGAAGACCAUCCACUCCAUCAGGGAAGUCGUCGGGAACCACUCCAAUGCCGCUAUCUACGCCGUGCUGAAGGAGACCAACAUGGAGCCCAACGAGACCGUGCAGAAACUGCUCAACCAAGAUCCAUUUCAUGAGGUGAAGAGAAGGGACAGGAAGAAAGAGGCUCAGCACACAGGUUACAGAGGUUUCGCUGAUACUAGAAAGCAAGUGGAGCAGAACAUACCAUCGGGAAAACUAUAUAGAUUGUGGAAUCAAAAUUCUCAUAGAGGAGGGUUUACUCGGAAUUUGGUUCCUGAUGCAGGAAUCAGUCGCGAAUUCCGCAUCGUAAGGGACAACAGAGUGAGCCAAAAUGUUAAUAAGGAUGCUUUGCAAGAAGAAAAGAAGCAAUUAGUUCCUGGCAAUGAGCAAACUAUGCCAGAUGUUCCAGAGAAGAGCUCUACCAGAGUUCCCUCUGAUCAAAAGCACUCUGUUUCUGCAAAUUCAGACGAGUGUCUUAUAUCAGCAUAUUUUGAUGAGUCCAGUCAUGUACCUGAUUAUGUACAAGAUGAAAAGUCAAGUGGUACAAAAAGUCCAUCACAACAGGACAAGUGUGAAGCAAUAGCAUCCGUUGUACAGAAUGAAACACAGACUUCAGGGUUACCAAAUAGCUUUAUUGGGAUGUCCUCUUCAUCUUCAGAUCCAGUUCAUGUUCCAUCUCUUGAUUCUGCAUCAGCUGGUAAAGUGGGGGCUAUUCAGCGCGAAGUUGGAGUAGUUGGCUUUCGAAGACAGACUUCUGAUCAUCCUGAAAAUCGUUCAUCUGUUUCAAAUAGCUUCCUCUCAAGUUCUUUAUCAGGAAAGAAUAUUUGUUUCUCAGUGGAAUCAACUGGACAUCAGGCUUACACAUCUAAGAGUCAUUCACUAAACCAAAUUUCUCCAUCAGCCGCCAAUCUGUAUAGCACGUCCUUAAGCAUACAAUCACAGGGUUUCUACCACAAUAGCAGAUUACACCAACAGUCUCUGAGUCAGCAGAAAGCUGUUCAGCCCAUCAUGAAGUGGAAGCCUAAAACUAGACCAAAACCCAAUAUUGUCAACAAUGGUGUGCCUGGAAUUACUUCAGCUUCUCCAUCUUGUGCUGUUAGUUCUUGUGUCUCACGACCAGUGGGAAAAACCAGAUCUGAGAAAUUGUCACAAGAUUGUAGUUUGGAUAGUCAACAUGUGAUCAUACCACAGCAUCUUCUAGUGCCACAGUCAGAGUGCAUGCAGCUGAUAUUUGGAAGUUUUGGUACUGGGUUUGACACAUCCAAGGGGUUUGCCUCUGUUCCUCAUCAAUCAGGAAGUGCAGAGCAGUUGGAUGACGAACCUUCUGACAGUAUGUUUGCACCAGUUCCAGUGGAAAAUGUAAUUUCUGCAGUUUGCAGGGACAGUCUGCAUGAUCAGUCUAGUACUUCGCCAUGUGGCUCUUCUGUGUCAGCUGCAGAAUCACAGGAGCCACCACCUGAAAAUAAUGGUUGUGUAAGUCCUCAAACUAUUCAGACUUAUGAUGAUAUUAGAUUGGUGGAGAGCAACAGCCCUCCUUUCAAUACACAGGAAGAGCAGCAGCUACAAAAUCCUCAUAGCUUGCCAAGUUUCUCGGCAUAUGACAACCAAAGUAGUUAUGAUGUCCCAUUUUUCAAAACAGUAAUGCAAGAUAAUGUACAUGCUCAAGGUUCAACUUCAUCAUCAGAGCAGGUCUUGAGUUUUCAUGCCGCCUGUAGCAGUUUUUCUAGUUUGGCCAUGGCACAGCAGCAACAACUUGUUCAGCAGCAGCAGCCGAUUGUGCAGCUGUACCCACAAAUUCAUAUGCCCCAUUUUCCAAACUUUGUGCCUUAUCGUCACAUUAUUUCUCCAGUUUAUGUUCCACAAAUGGCCAUGCCAAACUAUGCCAGCAACCCUGGGUAUCCUCAUCCCUCCACUGUGAAUAGUUAUGUUCUGAUGCCUGGAGGAAGCCCACACAUACUGGCAAGCAAGUGUGCAACCACACAGUAUAAACCAAUUGCUGCUGGCAACCCAACCGGGUGUGGAACCUACACCAAUCCUGCUAGUUUUGCCAUCAGUUUCCCUGGUGCUGUCAGUAACACAACAAGCCAAGAAGACUUGAACAGUGUCAAAUACAAAGACAACAAUGUCUUUGUUCCAAACCCACAGUUGGACACAUCUGAUAACUGGAUUCUGACGUCACGAGAGCUUCCAAACUUACAGUCAGCACCAUAUUAUAGCCUAUCAGGGCAAGCACCACAAUCAGCAUUCUUGCCUGCCCAUGCUGAUCAUGCUGCUUUUAAUGCCACACGAAAUACUUCUCAUGUGCAGUACCCAGGCUUGUACCCUCAACCUCAGCCAACCUCCAUGGUGAAUUCACAUCACUUGCUGCAGCAGCAGGUCCCACCAGCCAUAGGUGGGAGUCUUGGACUCGGCAUCGCAUCUCCUGGGCCACAGGCCAUGGUGAACAAGCUUUGGUAAUUAGACGACGAGACUUACCCUAUCAUACUUUGUGAAGCAAAGAUGGAAAAAGUUUGCAUGUGCAUCAGAAUCAUAGUUUUUGAGUGUGUGGGUUUCAGGACAGAAGAAUGAUGCAGAUGGAGGACACAAAUAAAGAGGACAGUGACAGACUUAAUUAGUUUGUCCAACUAAUUACUGCUGCAAAAAAAAACAUAUUAUUUGCAAGGAGACACUGUGAGGGACAAAACAUAAUAUGUUUGGUCCAUCAAACACUUGUCAGAACUCUUCUGUGUAGUAUCUGACAUCAGUACAUUGAUGAAAUUGUAAUGACUGUUUGAGCUUUUUAGAGGGACAGAGAUUCCUUCAAAUGUGUUACCGGUGAUUUC